rnacentral:rRNA from 1 species
UACGUAGGGUGCAAGCGUUGUCCGGAAUUAUUGGGCGUAAAGAGCUCGUAGGCGGUCUGUCGCGUCGGCUGUGAAAACUCGGGGCUCAACUCCGAGCUUGCAGUCGAUACGGGCAGGCUAGAGUUCGGCAGGGGAGACUGGAAUUCCUGGUGUAGCGGUGAAAUGCGCAGAUAUCAGGAGGAACACCGGUGGCGAAGGCGGUUCUCUGGGCCUUACCUGACGCUGAGACACGAAAGCGUGGGGAGCAAACAGG